rnacentral:tRNA from 1 species
GAAAAUCCGUUGGCUUUAUUGACCGUGAGGGUUCAAGUCCCUCUAUCCCUA